CACGUAGGGUGCGAGCGCUGUCCGGAAUUAUUGGGCGUAAAGAGCUCGUAGGCGGUGUGUCGCGUCGGCCGUGAAAACCUGUGGCUUAACUAUGGGCUUGCGGUCGAUACGGGCAUCACUGGAGUUCGGCAGGGGAGACUGGAAUUCCUGGUGUAGCGGUGAAAUGCGCAGAUAUCAGGAGGAACACCGGUGGCGAAGGCGGGUCUCUGGGCCGAUACUGACGCUGAGGAGCGAAAGCGUGGGGAGCGAACAGG
rnacentral:rRNA from 1 species